GAGGAUAUAGCUCAGUGGUAGAGUGUUUGUUUAACAUAAACAAUACCUUGGGUUCCAUCCCCAGUGUUGUCA
rnacentral:tRNA from 1 species